UCGGGAAUUUUGGGCAAUGGGCGAAAGCCUGACCCAGCAACGCCGCGUGAAGGAUGAAGUAUUUCGGUAUGUAAACUUCGAAAGAAUAGGAAGAAUAAAUGACGGUACUAUUUAUAAGGUCCGGCUAACUACAUGCCAGCAGCCGCGGUAAUACGUAGGGACCAAGCGUUGUUCGGAUUUACUGGGCGUAAAGGGCGCGUAGGCGGCAAUUCAAGUCAUCUGUGAAAUCUCCGGGCUUAACUCGGAACGGUCAGAUGAUACUGCUUUGCUAGAGUGCAGAAGGGGCAAUCGGAAUUCUUGGUGUAGCGGUGAAAUGCGUAGAUAUCAAGAGGAACACCUGAGGCGAAGGCGGGUUGCUGGGCUGAUACUGACGCUGAGGCGCGAAAGCUAGGGUAGCAAACGGGAUUAGAUACCCAAGUAGUCCCUGAGCGGGCUGGCAAGGCGCAU
rnacentral:rRNA from 1 species